CAAUUAUUUCUGUCCUGACCUUUAUUUCUUUCCAUCUGCUAAUUUGGAGUUUGGUUCCUUUUUUGCUUUUCUAUAUCCUUGAGAUACAUCAUUAGGUUGUUUAUUUGAAAUAUUUCCAUUUUUAUUGAUGAUGGCACCUAUUGCUCUAAACCUCCCUCUUAGUACUGCUUUUGGUCUUUUGUGUUUGUUAUCAUUUGUUUUAAGAUAUUUUAAACUUCCUCAUCUGACUUUUUUUGACCCAUUGUUUGUUCAAAAGUGUGUUGUUCAGUUUCCAUGUAUUUGUGUAAUUUGUAAAAUCUUUUGUUUUUGACUUCUACUAGUUUUAUUUCAUUUUGAUCAUAAAAGAUACAAGAAUUCAUCUUUCUUUUUAAUUUAAUACUUGUUUUGUGGCCUUAUAGUCUAUUCUAGAGAAAGUUUCAUGUGCUGAUAUAUUUGUAUUCUAUAACUGUUUUACGAAAUAUUCUGUAAAUGUCUAUUAGGUCUAUUUGAUCUAUGGUAUAGUUUAACUUCUGUUUCUUUGAUUUUUGGAGGGUGAGGUCUGUCCAUUUGUUUUAUGAAACUGGGUUCUCCAACAUAAGGUGCAUAUAGAUUUAUGAUGAUUACAUCUUCUUGAUAAAUUGAUCCCUUGGUCAUUAUAUAGUGAUCUUUGUUUCUUCUUACAGUUUUUAUUUUUAAGUCUAUUUUGUCUGACAUAUAUGUAGCUACUGCUAUUUGCUUUAGGUUUCAAUUUUCUAGGAAUAUAAUUUCCCAUCCUUUCAACUUUGUCUGUUUUUACUGGUGAGGUGAAUUUUUUGUAGGCAGUAUAUUAUUGGGCUUUGUUUCUUAUCCAUCCAACCAGUCUGUAUCUUUUAAUUAGAGAAUUUCACCUAUUUAAAUUCAAGGUUAUUAUUAAUGAGUAAGGACUUACUCCUGUCAUUUUGUUGAUUUUCUUCUAGUUGUUUAAAUAUUCUUCAUUCUUUCUCUUCUAUUCAUUUU
rnacentral:lncRNA from 1 species